rnacentral:rRNA from 1 species
CGCGUGGCGAAAGGGCGCGUAACACGUGGAUAACCUUCCUUCAGGUGGGGAAUAACCUCGCGAAAGCGAGGCUAAUACCGCAUAACAUGACGAUGGCUCAUGCUGUUGUCUUCAAAGCCGCAAGGCGCCAGAUGAGGGAUCCGCGGCCGAUUAGCUUGUUGGCGAGGUAAUGGCUCACCAAGGCAAUGAUCGGUAGCCGGUCUGAGAGGACGAUCGGCCACACUGGAACUGAGACACGGUCCAGACUCCUACGGGAGGCAGCAGUGGGGAAUCUUGCGCAAUGGACGAAAGUCUGACGCAGCAACGCCGCGUGGGGGAUGAAGCUUCUCGGAGUGUAAACCCCUUUCGACCCGGACGAAUGCCCGCAGGGGUAUGACGGUACGGGUAUAAGAAGCCCCGGCUAACUACGUGCCAGCAGCCGCGGUAAAACGUAGGGGGCCAGCGUUGCUCGGAAUUACUGGGCGUAAAGGGUCCGUAGGCGGUGUGGCAAGUCGGAAGUGAAAUCUCUGGGCUUAACCCAGAGGCUGCUUCCGA